CGGACGGGUGAGUAACGCGUGGGUAACCUGCCUUAUACAGGGGGAUAACAACCAGAAAUGGUUGCUAAUACCGCAUAAGCGCACGGCAUCGCAUGAUGCAGUGUGAAAAACUCCGGUGGUAUAAGAUGGACCCGCGUUGGAUUAGCUAGUUGGUGAGGUAACGGCCCACCAAGGCGACGAUCCAUAGCCGACCUGAGAGGGUGACCGGCCACAUUGGGACUGAGACACGGCCCAA
rnacentral:rRNA from 1 species